UUUUUUUUUUUUUUUUUGUUCUUUUAAGGAAAAAUGCAAUGGUGACUGAAGAAGCACGGAACUUUCCCGGACCGAGCUGAGCUGAUGAGCUCGGCUUGCUGAUGGAAAGAACGCGUCCUAAGCCUGAAAGACAAACAAGAGAGUGAACUAACAGGGGCCCUGAGGUUGUCCCCGAGGGCACUCCGACGGUCAAGUUAGUUUUCCGGUGAGUGAGGUUCACGGGAAGUAGAACGGUCGGAAGUAAUUGUCCAAUAGUGAGCGUACCUUGCGCAGUCACUGUGCAUUACCAUUUAUACCUGCUUAGGAGUCCGACCUCCGUACGUUUCGGGACUUGCCCAGAAUAGCCCCAAUCCCGCACUGAGGGGGGAACAAUCCCGACCUAUGCGGGAUUGUUCUCUGGAGCCCCUUGGAGCCCUAGCGGCGGAGGGCCGCGGGACAGUUCACAUGGGCCCGGGGUCUAAGUCCAGCUCGGAGCUCCCUGGGCUGCCACGUGUACAGGCCCAGGACGGGGCCUCUGCAGUGACAAAUCAGUAAUUUUAGGCCAUCUUUAAUAUUAAUUUGCAGUCCAAAUUUCCAGAAUGUAAUGUCAUGGAAACCAAGUGCGGUCUCUUCAAAUCAUUUAGUACAACAUUGUACCAAGAGAUAACUAGAAUAAAGUGUUAUUUGCCGGUAUCAGUUAGCUCCUCUAAAAAGAUAGUGCAUGCCCUGGAAUACCACUGUUGAUGUGAGAAUUGUAAUUCUUAAAUAUAUCUGCUUGAAUAUCAGUGCUGACGUGAGGAUUGUAAUUUUAAAAUACAUCUGAACCUGAUUUGUAGUGGAUAGUGGAGCCAAAACUAUCAAAUUUUUUUUUUGUUACAAAAAUAAAAAUCUAACGUAAUACAUAUCCACUUCAUAGUCACAUGCUUGUAUAAAAAUACAGAGAGAUUACGUGGAUAAAUGUAUUGGAAAGUACAUUAAUGUGCUAGUUAAAAGGGGCAGUCACAUUAAUGUACUUUCCAAUCUGCAUUUGUAACUGAUGCGACUGCCAAAAACAAGAUCCGAGCUGAGCUGCUGCGAGCUGAGCGAGCUGGUCAGGGACGAGCUGAUGGGAGAAGACCGAGCAGAAUGCCCUGCGAAGAAAGAACGACGGCGGGACUAGAGUCCCUGGAAUAGCUCCGACGGUCAAGUCAGUAGAGCUCAAGAGUAGAACAACAGUAGAGAGUUCUGUAGAUGGCGUACCUUGUGUCGUCUUGUGGCGCUGUAUAUAUAGGCUUUAAUGGGUAGUAGUUUCCAUAUAGGAGUCAAAGUCCCCUUAGGAUUCGGGGUCCUUCUAGGGUUUCGUAUGACAACCCCUAAAGGUUCGGAGGCGGCGGCCCAUCAGGCCCACUUCAUGGAGAGGCGGCGGCUACGGCUGAGCUGACCUCCCUCUAUUCCGAGCUGCUCUGCCCGAGCUGCCAUAUCACAGCAGCCGAGCUGACAGGUGGCAUCCGUAGAUUAGUUGGCCGAGCUGACAGGUCAUCAUGUCCGAACUGACACGUGGCUACUGGGAAAUUUGCCCCACUACAGUAACUAUCCCUUUAAACUAAUUUAUGUGCAAGAGUAUUGCCAGAAACAGAUGUUGAUCACUACUUCAAAAUUAUGUAUUACUACUAUCUGAAACCCACAAUAUAAUUACCAGAAACAAAAUCACACAUCAAACAAUAAUGGUUGAAACUUGUACGGUCAAUUUGUACUUUUGCACCCUGGAACAAGUAACACGAAGCAUUAAUUAACUCCCAAAUCAUAACAGUUGCAUACGUGCAAGUGUAGAAUCCAGAUUAUGUUACAAUUUCAGUUGUUCAAAAUUUGCUGUCCAGAUCGGAGUUCAGCACUGUCGUGAGGACCUGCCAUCACUCGAUACAAAAUCAUUCACAUACAAAUUACAAUCUUGGAAUGCAACCUAUAGAUGCUUUUACAACAUUAUUAGCAUGGUGUUGACCACCGGAACCAAUGGUCUUGAGCAGCCCCAGUAGUCCUUGAGGACUUCUGUUUUUGCUUCCAACUUGGCUGACUGCAGCCAUCUUCUUAUCAUGGUCACUUUCCAAUCCAAACAAGGUAGAGGAUGGAGAUGGAUUUUUACGGCUCUGCCUAUUCUUUAUAUCUCUCAAUGCCAUCUCUGUUGGAACAGUCCUUGACCCUCCAAAUAAAAGAAAUGACCAUCUCAACUUCCUUACUGAAUUCAAGACAGAUAUUUUAUUACCAACUGAUGGAAGCUUCUCUAACUUUUGCUUUUCUUUUCUUCUGCUAUUAGUAGUGCUGAUGUUACAGGAACCAUUCCAUGGAAAGGAUUCUGCUGGUUUCUUGAUUAAUUUCGAUUCUUUGACACUCAUAAGAUUUUGGAAGCCGAUUUCAGAGGAGGGUUCGCCGUAAGGAAUGACUUUUCCACAGAAAAUGAUGUUUUCAGGUGGAUGAGAGGUGGUGGUUGUACUCCACUCUUCGCUACAGAACUCAAAAAGCUGAUCUUGAUCGGAGCCAGAGGUGGAGGUGGAGCUUGAUGGUUGCAGCAGUUGCCGUGAGUAUUCUUGUUCAACUUCUUCCUCAUGGGCAGCAGCUGAAUUGAUUGAAUAAUCACACAGUGAGAGUGUAUCUUCUGAUUCAGUAUCAUCAUCAUAGAAGCUCUCCAUGUUUGAGUCAGAAUUGGCUUCUUCAAAAUCCAUUAGUGAUUCUUUGCUGUACGCAGAAGAAGUACUUGAUGAUUUAUGUGAUGACUUUGCCGAAUGAGUAGGGUGAGAGAGGUAGAGACUAUAUAUAUAUACAGUGGAAUUUGACUUCGUC
rnacentral:lncRNA from 1 species